UACGGGGGGAGCAAGCGUUGUUCGGAUUUACUGGGCGUAAAGGGCGCGUAGGCGGCACUGUUAGUCAGGCGUGAAAGUCCUGGGCUCAACCUGGGAACUGCGCUUGAUACGGCAGAGCUAGAGGAUGGAAGAGGGUCGCGGAAUUCCCAGUGUAGAGGUGAAAUUCGUAGAUAUUAGGGAAGAACACCGGUGGCGAAGGCGGCGACCUGGUCCAUUACUGACGCUGAGGCGCGACAGCGUGGGGAGCAAACAGG
rnacentral:rRNA from 1 species